rnacentral:rRNA from 1 species
ACGUAGGGGGCAAGCGUUGUCCGGAAUCAUUGGGCGUAAAGCGCGUGUAGGCGGCUUGGUAAGUCUGGCGUGAAAUCUUGGGGCUCAACCCCAAGCCUGCGCUGGAUACUGCCUCGCUAGAGUCCGGGAGAGGAAAGCGGAAUUCCCAGUGUAGCGGUGAAAUGCGCAGAUAUUGGGAAGAACACCGGUGGCGAAGGCGGCUUUCUGGAACGGUACUGACGCUGAGACGCGAAAGCGUGGGGAGCAAACAGGAUUAGAUACCCUGGUAGUCCACGCCGUAAACGAUGGGCACUAGUUGUGGGCGGUGUCGACUCCGUCCGUGACGAAGCUAACGCAUUAAGUGCCCCGCCUGGGGAGUACGGCCGCAAGGCUA